GACGAACGCUGGCGGCGUGCUUAACACAUGCAAGUCGAACGAUGAAGCCUAGCUUGCUAGGUGGAUUAGUGGCGAACGGGUGGGUAAUACGUGAGUAACCUACCUUUAACUCUGGGAUAAGCCUGGGAAACUGGGUCUAAUACCGGAUACGACCAAUCUCCGCAUGGGGUGUUGGUGGAAAGCGUUAUGUAGUGGUUAUAGAUGGGCUCACGGCCUAUCAGCUUGUUGGUGAGGUAACGGCUCACCAAGGCGACGACGGGUAGCCGGCCUGAGAGGGUGACCGUCCACACUGGGACUGAGACACGGCCCAGACUCCUACGGGAGGCAGCAGUGGGGAAUAUUGCACAAUGGGCGCAAGCCUGAUGCAGCGACGCCGCGUGAGGGAUGACGGCCUUCGGGUUGUAAACCUCUGUUAGCAGGGAAGAAGAGAAAUUGACGGUACCUGCAGAGAAAGCGCCGGCUAACUACGUG
rnacentral:rRNA from 1 species